rnacentral:rRNA from 1 species
AUUGAACGCUGGCGGAAUGCUUUACACAUGCAAGUCGAACGGCAGCACGGACUUCGGUCUGGUGGCGAGUGGCGAACGGGUGAGUAAUGUAUCGGAACGUGCCCAGUCGUGGGGAUAACGUAGUGAAAAUUACGCUAAUACCGCAUACGAUCUAUGGAUGAAAGCGGGGGAUCGCAAGACCUCGCGCGAUUGGAGCGGCCGAUAUCAGAUUAGGUAGUUGGUGGGGUAAAGGCCCGCCAAGCCAACGAUCUGUAGCUGGUCUGAGUGGACGACCAGCCACACUGGAACUGAGACACGGUCCAGACUCCUACGGGAGGCAGCAGUGGGGAAUUUUGGACAAUGGGCGAAAGCCUGAUCCAGCCAUUCCGCGUGCAGGAUGAAGGCCCUCGGGUUGUAAACUGCUUUUGUACAGAACGAAAAGGUUUCUACUAAUACUAGGAGCUCAUGACGGUACUGUAAGAAUAAGCACCGGCUAACUACGUGCCAGCAGCCGCUGUAA